AUUGAACGCUGGCGGCAGGCCUAACACAUGCAAGUCGAGCGGAUGAAGGGUGCUUGCUCCUGGAUUCAGCGUCGGACGGGUGAGUAUUGCCUAGGAAUCUGCCUGGUAGUGGUGGAUAACGUCCGGAAACGGGCGCUAAUACUGCAUACGUCCUGAUGCUGCAAGUGGGUGAUCUUCGGACCUCACGCUAUCAGAUGAGCCUAGGUCGGAUUAGCUAGUUGGUGGGGUAAAGGCCUACCAAGCCGACGAUCCGUAACUGGACUGAGAGGAUGAUCAGUCACAUUGGAACUGAGACACGGUCCAGACUCCUAAGGGAGGCAGCAGUGGGGAAUAUUGGACAAUGGGCGAAAGCCUGAUCCAGCCAGGGCGCGUGUGUGAAAAAGGUCUUCGGAGUGUAAAGAACUUUAAGUUGGGAGGAAGGGCAGUAAGUUAAUACCUUGCUGUUUUGACGUUACCAACAGAAUAAGCACCGGCUAACUUCGUG
rnacentral:rRNA from 1 species